CUACGGGGCGCUGCAGUAAGGAAUAUUGGACAAUGGGGGAAACCCUGAUCCAGCCAUGCCGCGUGAAUGAAGAAGGCCUUAGGGUUGUAAAGUUCUUUUAGAUGCGAAGAUAAUGACGGUAGCAUCAGAAAAAGCUCCGGCUAACUCCGUGCCAGCAGCCGCGGUAAUACGGAGGGAGCGAGCGUUGUUCGGAAUUACUGGGCGUAAAGCGUGCGCAGGCGGCUAGAUAAGUCAGAAGUGAAAUCCCAGGGCUCAACCUUGGAAUUGCUUUUGAAACUAUUUAGCUUGAGUAUCGGAGAGGUUGGCGGAAUUCCCAGUGUAGAGGUGAAAUUCGUAGAUAUUGGGGGGAACACCAGUGGCGUAAGCGGCCAACUAGACGAUAACUGACGCUCAGGCACGAAAGUGUGGGGAUCAAACAGGAUUAGAUACCCCCGUAGUC
rnacentral:rRNA from 1 species